UACGUAGGGUGCGAGCGUUAAUCGGAAUUACUGGGCGUAAAGCGUGCGCAGGCGGUUUUGUAAGCCAGAUGUGAAAGCCCCGGGCUUAACCUGGGAAUGGCAUUUGGGGACUGCAAGGCUUGAGUGCGGCAGAGGAGACUGGAAUUCCUGGUGUAGCAGUGAAAUGCGUAGAUAUCAGGAGGAAUACCGAUGGCGAAGGCAGGUCUCUGGGCUGACACUGACGCUCAUGCACGAAAGCGUGGGGAGCAACAGG
rnacentral:rRNA from 1 species